rnacentral:rRNA from 1 species
GACAUAGGUGGCAAACGUUAUCCGGAAUUACUGGGCGUAAAGGGCGCGUAGGCGGUCAGCACAAGUCAGUUGUGAAAUCUCCGGGCUUAACUCGGAAAGGUCAACUGAUACUGUGCGACUAGAGUGCAGAAGGGGCAACUGGAAUUCUCGGUGUAGCGGUGAAAUGCGUAGAUAUCGAGAGGAACACCUGCGGCGAAGGCGGGUUGCUGGGCUGACACUGACGCUGAUGCGCGAAAGCCAGGGAGCGAACGGG